rnacentral:rRNA from 1 species
UUUAUCACUAAGCUCAAGCCCAGCCCUCCAACAUUUAAAACCACAAAACAAAUCAUUUGACAAAAUAAGUAAAGGAGAUUAAACAU